rnacentral:lncRNA from 1 species
AUUUAUGGUUUGAUUUAAGAUUUAGGAUUUAUCUAGAAUUUGAUUUAGGAUUUGGUUUAGGAUCUAGGAUUUGAUAUAAGAUUUGACUUAAGAUUUGACUUAAGAUUUGAUUUAGGAUUUAGGACUUAUCUGGGAUUUAAUCUACGAUUUGAUUUAGAAUUUAAGAUUUGAUUUAGGAUUUGAUUUAGGAUUUAAUUUAGGAUCUAAGAUUUAAUCUAGGGUUUGAUUUAGGAUUUAAGAUUUAUCUAGGAUUUUAUUUAAGGUUUAAUUUAGGAUUUAGGAUUUUUUUAGGAUUUCAUUUAAGUUUUGGUUUAGGAUUUAGGAUUUUUCUAGGAUUUGAUUUAGGAUUUGAUUUAAGAUCUAGGAUUUUAUCUAAGGUUUGAUUUAAGAUUUAGGAUUUGAUAUAGGAUUUGAUUUAGGAUUUAGGAUUUUAUAGGAUUUAAUUUAUGAUUUAAUUUAAAUUCUAAAGUUUGAUCUUGGGUUUGUUUUAGGAUUUAGGAUUUUUUUAGGAUUUUUUUAGGAUUUGAUUUAGGACUUGAUUUAGGACUUAAUUUAGGAUUUAGGAUUUUCUAGAGAUUUUAUUUAAGAUUUCAUUUAGGAUUUAAUUUACGAUCUAGGAUUUGAUUUAGGAUUUGGUUUAGGAUUUAAGAUUAGAUUUUGGAUUUGAUUUAGGAUUUAGAAUUUGAUCUAAGAUUUGGUUUAGGAUUUAGGAUUUGAUUUAGGAUUUGAUUUAGGAUUUAAUUUAGGAUGUAAGAUUGUCUACGAAUUGAUUUAGGAUUUAGGAUUUGUUUAGGAUUUAAUUGAAUUCCAUUAGGAUUUCAAUUAGGAUUAAAUUAGAACUGAUUUGAGAUUUAUUUAAGAUAUAUUUGAAAUUAUUUUAAUAUUUUUUAAAGCUUCUUAAGGAAUCUUUUAAGGUUUAUUGUGGUUUUUCUUUCAAAUCCUUUAAGAUUUUUUAUUUAUUCUUUUAUAAUUUCUUUGAAGUUUCUUUUGAAUUUGAUUAAAGCUUAUUUAGCAUUGUUAAGAUUU